rnacentral:rRNA from 1 species
CCUACGGGUGGCAGCAGUGAGGAAUAUUGGUCAAUGGGCGCGAGCCUGAACCAGCCAAGUCGCGUGAGGGAAGACGGUCCUAUGGAUUGUAAACCUCUUUUGUCGGGGAGCAAGAGACGCCACGCGUUGCGUUCCGAGAGUCCCCGAAGAAAAAGCAUCGGCUAACGCCGUGCCAGCAGCCGCGGUAAUACGGAGGAUGCGAGCGGUAUCCGGAUUUAUUGGGUUUACAGGGUGCGCAGGCGGAAGAUCAAGUCAGCGGUAAAAUUGAGGGGCUCAACCUCUUCGAGCCGUUGAAACUGGUGUUCUUGAGUGAGUGAGAAGUAUGCGGAAUGCGUGGUGUAGCGGUGAAAUGCAUAGAUAUCACGCAGAACUCCGAUUGCGAAGGCAGCAUACCGGCGCUCAACUGACGCUCAGGCACGAAAGUGUGGGUAUCGAACAGGAUUAGAUACCCUAGUAGUC